UACGUAGGGAGCAAGCGUUGUCCGGAAUUACUGGGCGUAAAGGGCGCGCAGGCGGCCAUAUAAGUCAGGUGUGAAAAACCGGGGCUCAACCCCGGUCCUGCAUUUGAAACUGUAUGGCUUGAGGGUGAGAGAGGAAAGUGGAAUUCCUAGUGUAGCGGUGAAAUGCGUAGAUAUUAGGAGGAACACCAGUGGCGAAGGCGACUUUCUGGCUCAUACCUGACGCUGAGGCGCGAAAGCGUGGGGAG
rnacentral:rRNA from 1 species